rnacentral:rRNA from 1 species
CACGUAGGAGACGAGCGUUAUCCGGAUUUACUGGGUGUAAAGCGCGUGCAGGCGGUUUGGAAAGUUGGAUGUGAAAGCUCCCGGCUUAACUGGGAGAGGUCGUUCAAAACUACCAGACUAGAGUACAGCAGAGGGGAGUGGAAUUCCGAGUGUAGCGGUAAAAUGCAUAGAUAUUCGGAAGAACACCAGUGGCGAAGGCGGCUCCCUGGGCUGAAACUGACGCUCAGACGCGAAAGCUAGGGUAGCGAACGGGAUUAGAGACCCCGGUAGUCCUAGCCGUAAACGAUGUGGACUUGGCGUAGGCGGGUUGAAAUCCAUCUGUGCCGAAGCAAACGCGAUAAGUCCACCACCUGGGGACUACGGCCGCAAGGCUAAA